rnacentral:rRNA from 1 species
UACGUAGGGUGCGAGCGUUAAUCGGAAUUACUGGGCGUAAAGCGUGCGUAGACGGUCAAGUAAGUCGGGUGUGAAAGCCCCGGGCUCAACCUGGGAAUUGCAUUCGAGACUGCGUGGCUAGGGUGCGGAAGAGGGAAGCGGAAUUUCCGGUGUAGCGGUGAAAUGCGUAGAUAUCGGAAGGAACACCAGUGGCGAAAGCGGCUUCCUGGUCCAGCACCGACGUUCAGGCACGAAAGCGUGGGGAGCAAACAGG